rnacentral:rRNA from 1 species
UACAGAGGGUGCGAACGUUGCUCGGAAUUACUGGGCGUAAAGCGCGUGUAGGCGGAUCCAUAAGUCGGGCGUGAAAUCCCCAGGCUCAACCUGGGAACUGCGCUCGAAACUGUGGGUCUUGAGUGUCGGAGAGGAUGGCGGAAUUCCUGGUGUAGAGGUGAAAUUCGUAGAUAUCAGGAGGAACACCGGUGGCGAAGGCGGCCAUCUGGACGACAACUGACGCUGAGACGCGAAAGCGUGGGGAGCAAACAGG